UACGUAGGGGGCAAGCGUUGUCCGGAUUUAUUGGGCGUAAAGAGCGUGUAGGCGGCCAGGUAGGUCAGCUGUGAAAACUCGAGGCUCAACCUCGAGACGCCGGUUGAAACCAUCUGGCUAGAGUCCGGAAGAGGAGAGUGGAAUUCCUGGUGUAGCGGUGAAAUGCGCAGAUAUCAGGAGGAACACCAGUGGCGAAGGCGGCUAUCUGGACGGUUUCUGACGCUAAGACGCGAAAGCGUGGGGAGCAAACAGG
rnacentral:rRNA from 1 species